UUUAACCAGACCUGUAACCUUUGAAAAAUAUACCAGAAGAUCUCACAGUAGCGAGUAAACCGCCUAAAGGUUCAGAGAAUAUACAGUUUGCAGCCUACAAUGGAUGCAUUAUAAAAUUUAAAACGUUACACAGCAGAACUUCGCUCAGCAAACCUGCUCAAACUGCGAAACAAUGAAAUGCACAGAUGUCCCGCCCUCCUUUGGCACCAAAUCAUCAUUUGCCAGUCACCUGUCAAUCAAAUGAGUUACGCUGCUGUCACGUCAGUUACGUAGGCCGUCAGUGAUAUUAGCAACUCUUUUGAACAAUGUUGCGUUAAGAUUUAAAAGUCUUCACUCAAAACUAUAAACAUGUAACGUCAGUGUACAAGAAACAAGAGGUACACUGCCUUGAAUUCAGUUAGUUGUGCUGUGGCUUGGAGCAUGUUAGGCUACAUGUCAGUUAAGCCGUUUCUACAACCUAUAAUCAAAGUAAAGUAUACAGGAGAAGUGGUGAAGAAAUAAUGAAGCCAGCUAAUUCUCCAUGGCUAUUUGAAGCCAGCGUGUGAAGUCAAAGUCAAGUCAAGGAGACAGCUACCCUGGGAGUGCUCAAAUACACUCAGGAGCCCCGAGGUAGCAGGACAGGCUUAUAGCUGCAAGAAUCGGCACCGGAGCAAACAAACAGGAGCCUCCUUGGGGAAAUAACUGCUUUCUGCGAGACCUUCAGCCUCCAUUCAAGGUGGAAGAGAUCAGUGGAACACAUGUUUUCUUCAGUGGGUCAUGCUCACGCCAGAGAUUCAUGAAUCACCAGAGGGAGCAGUGCCUUCAAAACAUGACCUGUUAAAAUGUACACCUCUCGAGGUGAGCAUGCUGUAGUUUCAGCCCUCCUUCCACUCUCUUGCUCUCUGCUACCGAGCCUCCGCCAGCACCCUCUGCUGUGACAGCAUGACUGUACAGUCUGUUGCCCGCCCCCCCUUGCACAGUCAGAGCUCCAUUAAAUUGAAAGCCAAUGCAAACUGCCUGGGCUGGCCGUGCUCAUUAAGAGGACUCUAAGCAGAAGACUGGCAGAGGAUCCUACACACUAAUGAAUUGGUACACGCCCCCACACUGUGAAAGUGCUACGCUCGUGAUGAAUGACAGGAUGAACACUGCCACUGCAACGGCUUGUGCUGGAAGUGAAGAACCGGUGAUGCGGCUACAUGUGGCGUUAUCAUCACUUUGUGGUAUAUGUCGUCUGCAAGGACAAAAUCUCACAAACGCACAAACAACGCUCACUCACGUCAUCUUCGUCUUCACUGGAGAGACUCGAUCCUCAUGAGCGUAUUGCAGGUGACUGAUACACAGUGAGGUGAAGGUACUGAGCCAUCUAACCUGGUCGUUUAUCUUCACACAGAACAUUAUGUCACAGGUGAUUCAAUUGAGUGGAAAUUGGGGCACAGGAGCUCACAGGGCCCCAGCCAGAAGAACUUAUUAAUGAGUCAGGCUGAAUCUAACAAACACCCUCCAGGGCAUCCUGCUCUACAUGACGGGUUAGCUCCCCUCUCAUUGGGCACUUUAUCAAAAGGUCCUAUUUAAGAAACUCUCCUGAGGAUUACCUAACCACAAAGGAUACCCCAGCUCUCUUUGCCAGUGCUGCUGUUAUUCAGAUGUGAAAACGGGAAGCUUUUAUUUUGUCUUCUGGAUUAAUAAAAAAAAAAAAGCUGAACAUAUCGUUAUGGAGUGGAAUGUUCAUUCUUGUUAAGACUCCACACUCUGAGGCGUUUCUUCUUUAUGAGCAGCCUGAGACACACAAUGGGAAAGAGAACACAACAGUUACAGCCAAUUUUAAUUAACUUCCUUUGGGAGAAAUGCUACUAAUUGAUUUUUCUUAGCUUGUCCAAGACA